GCUCAGAUUGAACGCUGGCGGCAUGCCUUACACAUGCAAGUCGAACGGCAGCACGGAGCUUGCUCUGGUGGCGAGUGGCGAACGGGUGAGUAAUAUAUCGGAACGUACCCUAGAGUGGGGGAUAACGUAGCGAAAGUUACGCUAAUACCGCAUACGAUCUAAGGAUGAAAGUGGGGGAUCGCAAGACCUCAUGCUCGUGGAGCGGCCGAUAUCUGAUUAGCUA
rnacentral:rRNA from 1 species